rnacentral:rRNA from 1 species
CUUGCUCUUCGAUUNGCGGCGGNNGGGUGAGUAAUACCUAGGAAUCUGCCUGGUAGUGGGGGACAACGUUUCGAAAGGAACGCUAAUACCGCAUACGUCCUACGGGAGAAAGCAGGGGACCUUCGGGCCUUGCGCUAUCAGAUGAGCCUAGGUCGGAUUAGCUAGUUGGUGAGGUAAUGGCUCACCAAGGCUACGAUCCGUAACUGGUCUGAGAGGAUGAUCAGUCCCACUGGAACUGAGACACGGUCCAGACUCCUACGGGAGGCAGCAGUGGGGGAAUAUNUGGACAAUGGGCGAAAGCCUGAUCCAGCCAUGCCGCGUGUGUGAAGAANGUCUUCNGAUUGUAAAGCACUUUAAGUUGGGAGGAANGGCAGUAAGCGAAUACCUUGCUGUUUUGACGUUACCGACAGA